AUAUAAAUCACCCAGGGAUCUUGUUAACAUAUAAAUUUUGAUUCAAAAGUUCUUGAGGGGAACCUGAGAAUCUGCAUCUCUUACAAGUUACCAGGUGAUGCCAAA
rnacentral:pre_miRNA from 1 species